GUGAGGAAUAUUGCGCAAUGGAGGCAACUCUGACGCAGCCAUGCCGCGUGCAGGAAGAAGGCGCUACGCGUUGUAAACUGCUUUUAACCGGGAAGAAACCCCAGGACGUGUCCUGGGUUGACGGUACCGGAGGAAUAAGCACCGGCUAACUUCGUGCCAGCAGCCGCGGUCAUACGAAGGGUGCAAGCGUUAUCCGGAUUCAUUGGGUUUAAAGGGUGCGUAGGCGGAGCGUUAAGUCAGUGGUGAAAUCCUGCGGCUUAACUGUAGACUUGCCAUUGAUACUGGCGCUCUUGAGUGCGCUUGAAGUGGGCGGAAUAUGCCGUGUAGCGGUGAAAUGCUUAGAUAUGGCACAGAACACCAAUUGCGAAGGCAGCUCACUAAGGCGAUACUGACGCUGAGGCACGAAAGCGUGGGGAUCGAACAGGAUUAGAUACCCUUGUAGUCC
rnacentral:rRNA from 1 species